GCCUGCGCGCACGCGUCCUCGGGGCGGGGCGGGCUCCGCAGCUGGGCCGGCGCUCUGUCCCGCGCACCUGGCGCUCCCGGAACGUGCUGCGCGUCCUCGUAGAGGCAGUAACCGUGGUCUUCAAGAAAAUAUUCUCCCCCUGAGCGCUGAGAACAUCCAGCACCAAGAGGAGAGGAGAUGCCAAAGCGGGACUGAAAGAACUAAAGGCUCAGAUGGAGGAAUCUCUUCUGGGCCCUCCAAAAAGUCUUGGACAGGCGUAAUACAGGACCCCAGAAUUCCACUCCUUGUUGUGUGAUCCACUGAGUUCAGGACACCUGCACAAUAAGAACCAUAGCCUCAUUGUGUGAAAGAGCCGCAAACUGGAAACAACCCAAAUGUCCAUCGUCAAUAGAAUGGAGAACUAAAUCGGGGUAUAGUUCGUUAGCCAUGGCAACGGAGGAAUCACUGAUGACUCCUGAAUCCAUAAUUUUUAGUGAAAAAAGCCAGACAGAAGAGAAUAUAUACUGCAUGAUUACAGGUUAAACCCAGACCUGUGCGGAGUGCAUGAUAAAUGAAACUAUGAAGUAAACGAGGAAUGGAACACCAUGAACAUAAGACUGUGGUUACUGCUAAGGGCAGGGAAUAAAAUGUCUUUAGGAAGGGGCACGUGUGAAGCUUCUGGAAGUCUCAUAAAUUGUAGGUAUUGAUCUAGGUGG
rnacentral:lncRNA from 1 species